GUGGGGAAUCUUGCGCAAUGGGCGAAAGCCUGACGCAGCCAUGCCGCGUGAAUGAUGAAGGUCUUAGGAUUGUAAAAUUCUUUCACCGGGGACGAUAAUGACGGUACCCGGAGAAGAAGCUCCGGCUAACUUCGUGCCAGCAGCCGCGGUAAUACGAAGGGGGCUAGCGUUGCUCGGAAUUACUGGGCGUAAAGGGCGCGUAGGCGGACAGCUUAGUCAGAGGUGAAAGCCCAGGGCUCAACCUUGGAAUUGCCUUUGAUACUGGCUGUCUUGAGUUUGGGAGAGGUGAGUGGAACUCCGAGUGUAGAGGUGAAAUUCGUAGAUAUUCGGAAGAACACCAGUGGCGAAGGCGACUCACUGGCCCAAUACUGACGCUGAGGCGCGAAAGCGUGGGGAGCAAACAGGAUUAGACACCCCAGUAGUCC
rnacentral:rRNA from 1 species